UAAUGAUUCCAAGGUGUCAGGUUCUCCUCU
rnacentral:piRNA from 1 species